rnacentral:rRNA from 1 species
GGAUAAUCUACCCGAUGAUCUGGAAUAACACUUCGAAAGGGGUGCUAAUACCGGAUAAGCCCACGACAUCUUCGGAUGGCGCGGGAAAAGGGGGCUUCGGCUCCUGUCAUCGGAUGAGUCCGCGGCCCAUUAGCUAGUUGGUAGGGUAAUGGCCUACCAAGGCUACGAUGGGUAGCUGGUCUGAGAGGAUGAUCAGCCACACUGGAACUGAGACACGGUCCAG